CCUCUCAUCCCCCUCCUCCCUCUCCUCCUUCCCCCUCCUCCUCCUUCUCUCCUCCCCCUCCCCUCUCCUUCCUCUCCUCCCCCUCCUCCCCAUCCUCCUCUUCCUCUUCCUCCACCAUCCCCCAGCAUUAACAUCCCUCACUGUAAGAAAACCAAACAGACAAAAUGCCAUCCUUGCAAUGAAGGUGAAAGGCCACGGUCUACAAGAAGUCCUAAGAUGAACUGAAAAAUUCUGAGCGGAGACUCGAUUGCAUCAGAUAGUUCAGAGGCACAAAACUAAGGGGGCGGCCGAAAGCCAGGAUGCUCUACGCCAAACUAAGAAAAUAAUCACCAGCACAGCGUGUUUUCCAAUCCGCCAAGUUCUGCUGUGUCAUCUGUGAAAU
rnacentral:lncRNA from 1 species